rnacentral:rRNA from 1 species
AGCUGGUUCUCGCCGAAACAUAUUGAGGUAUGGGCUCGGUUCAUUUUGCACGGGGGGGUAGAGCACUGGAUGAGCUAGGGGGACCACAAUCUUACCGAACUCAACCAAACUCCGAAUACCCGUGACAACAGGCCGGGACUCAGGCGUUGGGAGCUAAGUUUCAGCGCCAAGAGGGAAAGAACCCAGAUCGUCAGCUAAGGUCCCCAAGUCGUGACUAAGUGGGAAAGGAUGUGGGAGCGCUUAGACAGCCAGGAGGUUGGCUUAGAAGCAGCCAUCCUUCAAAGAAAGCGUAACAGCUCACUGGUCGAGCGAACCCGCGCCGAAAAUUCAACGGGUCUCAAGUCACGCACCGAAGCUACGGGUUUCUGCAAAGAAGCGGUAGGCGAGCAUUCUCUGUGCGGUGAAGGCGUACGGUAACGAGCGUUGGAGCGCAGAGAAGAGCUGAUGUUGGCGUGAGUAGCGAUAAAGAGAGUAG